CACGUAGUUAGCCGGUGCUUCUUAUCCAGGUACCGUCACCCGAAGGCUUCUUCCCUAGCGAAAGAGGUUUACAACCCGAAGGCCGUCAUCCCUCACGCGGCGUCGCUGCAUCAGGCUUCCGCCCAUUGUGCAAUAUUCCCCACUGCUGCCUCCCGUAGGAGUCUGGGCCGUGUCUCAGUCCCAAUGUGGCCGUCACCCUCUCAGGCCGGCUACCCGUCGUCGCCUUGGUAGGCCAUUACCCCCACAACAAGCUGAUAGGCCGCGGGCUCAUCCUCCACCGAAAAAACUUUCCACCAACCACACUAAAGAUUGGUCCUAUCCGGUAUUAGACCUAGUUUCCCAGGCUUAUCCCGAAGUGAAGGGCAGAUCACCCACGUGUUACUCACCCGUUCGCCACUCGAGUACCCCUGCAAGCAGGGGCCUUUCCGUCGACUUGCAUGUGUUAAGCACGCCGCCAGCGUCGUCUCGAGCCAGAUCAAACUCU
rnacentral:rRNA from 1 species